rnacentral:rRNA from 1 species
UACGUAGGGGGCAAGCGUUGUCCGGAUUCAUUGGGCGUAAAGAGCGUGUAGGCGGCCAGGUAGGUCGGUUGUGAAAACUGGAGGCUCAACCUUCAGAGGUCGACCGAAACCAUCUGGCUAGAGUCCGGGAGAGGAGAGUGGAAUUCCUGGUGUAGCGGUGAAAUUCGUAGAUAUUCGCAAGAACACCAGUGGCGAAGGCGGCUCACUGGCCCGAUACUGACGCUGAGGCACGAAAGCGUGGGGAGCAAACAGGG